AUGUGUUUAAAUGAAUGUAGUGUAUGUGGACACUUGCUCAUCGAAGAUCUCAUUCCAAAAUCAUUUGGAGUUGGUCCCCCCUUUGCUGCUAUAACAGCCUCCACUCUUCUGGGAAGUUUUUCCACUAGAUGUUGGAACAUUGCUGCUAUAACAGCCUCCACUCUUUUGGGAAGUUUUUCCACUAGAUGUUGGAACAUUGCUGCGGGGACUUGCUUCCAUUCAGCCACAAGAGUAUUAGUGAGGUCAGGGCUCUGUGCAGGCCAGUCAAGUUCUUCCACACCGAUCUUGACUAACCAUUUCUGUAUGGACCUCACUUUAUGCACGGGGGCAUUGUCAUGCUGAAACAGGAAAUGACCUUCCUCAAACUGUUGCCACAAAGUUGGGGGCACAGAAUCGUCUAGAAUGUAAUUGUGUACUGUAGCAUUAAGAUUUCUUUUCACUGGAAGUAAGGGGCCUGAACCAUGAAAAACAGCCCCAGACCAUUAUUCCUCCUCCACCAAACUUUACAGUUGGCACUAUGCGUUCUCCUGGCAUUCUCCAAACCCAGAUUCGUCCGUGGGAUUGCCAGAUGGUGGAGCGUGAUUCAUCACUUCAGAGAACGCGUUUCCACUGCUCCAGAGUCCAAUGGCGGCGAGCUUUACACUACUCCAGCCGACGCUUGGCAUUGCGCAUGGUGAUCUUAGGCUUGUAUGCGGCUGCUCUGCCAUGAAAACCUAUUUCAUGAAGGUCCCGACUAACAGUUACUGUGCUGACGUUGCUUCCAGAAGCAGUUUGGAACUCGUACUGAGUGUUGCGACUGAGGACAGACGACUGUUACGAGCUACGAACUACAGCACUCGACAAUCCCGUUCUGUGAGCUUGUGUGGCCUACCACUUUGCGGCUAAGCCGUUGUUUCCCCUAGACUUGUUCACUUCACAAUAACAGCACUUACAGCACUUGUUAGUGAUGAUUCUGCUAUCAGAGAUGAUCUCCCAUUGGUUGUUGGUGAUCUAGCUGCUAUCAGAGAUGAUCUCCCAUUGGUUGUUGGUGAUCGAGCUGCUAUCAGAGAUGAUCUCCCAUUGGUUGUUGGCGAUCGAGCUGCUAUCAGAGAUGAUCUCCCAUUGGUUGUUGGCGAUCUAGCUGCUGUCAGAGAUGAUCUCCCAUUGGUUGUUGGCGAUCUAGCUGCUAUCAGAGAUGAUCUCCCAUUGGUUGUUGGCGAUCUAGCUGCUGUCAGAGGUGAUCUCCCAUUGGUUGUUGGCGAACGAGCUGCUAUCAGACCUGAUAUCUUCCCCCAUGGUGGUCUGUGGCCAUGUUCUCAACAUUUCAGGCGUCUCAAAUGGCACCCUAUUCCCGAUGUUAUAGUGCACUACUUUUGACCAGGGUCCAUUGGGUAGGGAACUAUAUGGGGGUGCCAUUUGGGAUGUUGCCCACGGCUGCCUCAUACUGUUGUUUUGAUCACUCCCCUCCUGCUGAUACAGGAUUGUAUUCAUUAGGUAUCAAACGGAAGACGACUUGGACUUGUCCAAUAAUAACCGACUGGUUUUGUUUUCAGUUGAAAAAUGUCCUCAAUCAUCGCCUGAUCUCAAUGUUUGUACAUAGAAUAAGUGAUUGUAGGGCCUUUUAAACACAUCUACAAUGAUGAUCUGUCUCUCUCUGAGGAUGGGUGAGGAUUUCAACCAUAAUGAUGACCUGUCUCUCUGAGGAUUUCAACCAUAAUGAUGACCCGUCUCUCUGGGGAUGGGUGUGGAUUUCAACCAUAAUGAUGACCCUUCUCUCUGAGGAUGGGUGCGGAUUUCAACCAUAAUGAUGACCCUUCUCUCUGAGGAUGGGUGCGGAUUUCAACCAUAAUGAUGACCCAUCUCUCUGAGGAUUUCAACCAUAAUGAUGACCCGUCUCUCUGAGGAUUUCAACCAUAAUGAUGACCCGUCUCUCUGAGGAUUUCAACCAUAAUGAUGACCCGUCUCUCUGAGGAUUUCAACCAUAAUGAUGACCCAUCUCUCUGGGGAUUUCAACCAUAAUGAUGACCCGUCUCUCUGAGGAUUUCAACCAUAAUGAUGACCCGUCUCUCUGAGGAUUUCAACCAUAAUGAUGACCCAUCUCUCUGGGGAUUUCAACCAUAAUGAUGACC
ensembl:lncRNA